rnacentral:rRNA from 1 species
GAUGAACGCUAGCGGGAGGCUUAACACAUAGCAAGUCGAGGGGCAGCAUAGGGUAGCAAUACUCUGAUGGCGACCGGCAAACGGGUGAGUAACGCGUAUGCAACCUACCCUGUACAGGGGGAUAACCCGGAGAAAUUCGGACUAAUAUCCCGUAAUAAUAUCCGGAGGCAUCUUUGGAUAUUUAAAGUUUCGACGGUACGGGAUGGGCAUGCGUAACAUUAGCUGGUUGGUAAGGUAACGGCUUACCAAGGCUAUGAUGUUUAGGGGUCCUGAGAGGGUGGUCCCCCACACUGGUACUGAGACACGGACCAGACUCCUACGGGAGGCAGCAGUGAGGAAUAUUGGUCAAUGGGCGCAAGCCUGAACCAGCCAUCCCGCGUGCAGGAAGACGGCCCUAUGGGUUGUAAACUGCUUUUCCAGGGAGAGAAACUUACGCACGUGUUGCGUGACUGACGGUACCCUGGGAAUAAGCAUCGGCUAACUCCGUG